rnacentral:tRNA from 1 species
GCCGCCGUAGCUCGAUUGGUAAGAGCAUCGGGCGUGUAAUCCGAAGGUUGCAGGUUCGGUUCCUGCCGGCGGCA